ACUAAAGGAUCAAAGACUAAGAACGCGGCGUCGUGCCGCCACGCCUUUAUGACGCGCAUCCUGCGGA
rnacentral:sRNA from 1 species